rnacentral:lncRNA from 1 species
CUGGUUACAUCUUCUUUUCAGCCUCUUCACUGAAACCUCAGAUAAUCCUCCCUCACACGACUGCUUGAUUUCUGAGGCACCCUGAGGUUCUGGCUGAUGUUUCCCCAGUGGUGCCCUGAACACGGAGAUGUGGCACUGAGGGACACGGUUAGCGGGCAGCGCUGGUGUUGCAGAUGAAGAAGAAGAGCACCAAGUUCAUGUCCCUUGGAUCCUGGAGGAAUGCUCAGCAGAUGAGCAGUGGAUGGUGUGGAAGCACCAUCUCAGGGCUCCUGGCAAGAAGAUGCCAAAAUUUAAAAGAAAGCGUAACUGAAAUGAAUGGACUUUUUUUACACAAGGAACCUUAAGCUCUUUUUCAGUUUUGCCGGCAUAAAAUGAAGAUGCAUAAAAUGUCCUGCCAGCAGCAUCCUCAGUUUCCAGCAGCCUGGUCGGGGUAUGAACCAGGGCCCUCCUGCCAAACUCAAGACGUUUUUAUCCUCCUCCCUUCCUUCCUGGGAAGUAAAGGGAGCAGCAAGAAAAGAAAAAUCAAAUCUCUUCACCGGGGCCUGGGCAAAUAGCCGGCUCUCUAGUGCCUCCAAGUUCUUUCUGUUUAAUAAAACACAGCAGAGGAGGCUCUCUCAGGAGGCUCUCUUUGCUUCAUUCAGUACUUCAGGGUCAAUGUUUUAACAACUUAUUUUUUCUCACACUUGUACUAUUACAAUGUGUUUGUGCCGGUGCGACUCAGUGAAAAACAGGCAGAGAAGAAUUAACUACUGGGAUCCUGUCCCAUAACAUCUAAAUGAGCACAGUGACACAGAAAUAUGCUCCCCCAUGGCCAGCAGGAAGUUUCUCAGGUGCUGCUGCCCGCUUUGCAGGGGAAGACCUGAACAGUGAGCAGCAGAUCUGCGCUGGUGCAUUAAGGAAGAUGCACAGGCCUGAGAUGAUCUGUCUGAAGCCUGGGACUUAAUUUAAUAAGUUGAAGUUGAGUUAGCACCGUUGAGCCUCUGGGGCCGCAUCUUGCAUCAGAAAGAACACAGCUCGUUAUCAUUCCUGAACUAUGCUCCUCUCAGUCGCUGCGCUGGGUAAUGUGAGGUGACACGUGGAGGAAAACAGGAUCUCUUCCAGCAUAUGUGAAAAGGGCAAAUCAAGAGGACAAACAUACGACAGCAAAAAAGAGCAGCAAGGAAGGAAAUUGCAGGCAUGUUUAUGAUGGAAACUUAUUUACAGCCCUGCUGCUGGAGGGAUCAGGGCUCAGCACUCAGCCCUGCCAGCCAUGCCAGAGCUAAGCAAUCCCGAGCAAGUGAUGGGAACAUUUAAGACAUCGGUCUUAGAUUGUCUUUCCGAUCACAGGUUCACAGCAUCUUUGCAAAAGGCGCAGUUGUCUUGACAGCUAUGCCAGCCUCUUCCCGGGGACAGCAGCAAAAGGAGGGAGAGGGAGGGAGGGGGGAGAGCGGAGAGGUGGGAUGAGGAAGAAAAACAGCACACGAGGAGGGAAUUAGCAGUGCCAGCCGAGCGUCGUAUUUGGGGUCUGAUGAGGACACAGCGGAGCAGGAGAUGUUUGGUUCGCCGGGCAAGUUGGCGUGGGCGUUGCACAGAUGCGGGGGAUGCGGAUCGAACGGGGAGGGUCAGGAUGGAUUUGGGGACACGGGGAGAUGCUGCAAGCGGUGGCUAUGACGCGCAGCCCGCCCGUUCAGGAUCACGCAUCCCGCCGUUCCUCCCUAGCGAUCCUCGAUAAACAACGUACGAAAAGGACGGUGACCUCAUCCCAGUGAAACUGGCCAAACACCACACAUUUCUCCGUGCUCGGCUCUGCCGGUCCCUACGCUCCCCACGUCCCCGGGCGGCUGCAGCCCCUUCGCACAGCUCCCGCCGAGCACCCCGGAGCGGCCGAGCCUCUUCCUCCGCUCCCAGCCCGCUGCGGGGAGCCGACAAGCCGUAUCGUGCUCCCUGCGUAAAAGAGACACCUCUGAUGCCCGUCAAACAUCUGCCCUAAUCAGGACAUAACACGAUACAAGCGGAGCUUGAUGCAGGCAUUUAUUUCAGCCGGCUGGCCGGGCUGACGGGCUGCUAACGGCUGUCAGCAUCUCCUCCUCUCCCGGCGCCGGGGAGCGCAGUGCCCGGCUCAGCCCGGGGGUCGGCACCCGCUCUCCCGCCCGGGGCGAGACGCUCCGACUCGCGGCUCCUUUCUGCUCUUUUCCAGACUCUUCUCUCCCUCCCUCCCCGCGCUCGUUUUUCUUUUCUUUCUUCUUUUUUUUUUUUUUU